GCGGUAAAAUAUAAGAAGCAAGUGUUCGGAACAGGUGGGUUGUGUCCGCAGGCUGGAGGAGACUCAAAAGCCGUCGACGAAGCACUUGAAGCAGAGAAGACAGCAGUAAAUCAACAAAGACAAGUCAACUGUACCCCGAUCUACCACUCAAGAGAUCUGAUGGACUCAAAAGCAGGUGACAGUGCGCCGGAUCCGGCGUCUGCUCGCCGGGUUCACACAGCAAUCAUGUCUGCAGAACAACUCAGUGAGCCAGAUGCGGCCAGGGUCAUCGAUCUGACAGUUUAAAUGAUGGGUUAUGCACUGGUCCGGGGCAGACCGUGCAAACCGGACGUGCUUAAAAUCUGAAAUUUAACGGUCGACGUGUGACGUCACAACAACAUGCAACCUGACGGCGGGCAUCCGCUGCGACACUAAACAGGAGAACAUGCAGGAUUCAAGACACGUCAUAUCAGUGUACGGAAAUUUUUAUGAUCCUGUACUGCUUGCCUGCUAAAACGCCUACCUGCCCGUUCACCUGUUCCAUCACCAAACUGCCUACCGGAUACUUCGAACACUAUCUGCCACUCCCUCUCAUCGUAAAUGAAUUCUUGUUACCACUGCCAGUUUGCCAGUUUUGCCAGUCUCUGCGCAUAGGUCACCCGUUACCCCAGAACCUUGAAAAAAAAACAAUAUGCUGUUUACAGUCUAAAAAUGGGUAAUCUUUAUUCACACAGGCCUAUGCCUCAUUAUUAACCCCUACAAUAGCUCCAGUGGAAGAACUUGUAAAUAGUUUCAGUUCCGGUGUGAUGACUGUAAUGGACACUAUUGCCCCGAUUAAGACAAAAACUUUGUCAAGAAAGAAGAGGUCACCCUGGAGAAAUGCCAUACUAGCUAUAAAACAAAAGCAAGUUUGUAGACGAGCAGAACGCAGAUGGCGAAAAAACAAACUCCUAGUUUUUUAUGAUAUCUACAAAGAGAGUCUUCGCAAAUACAACCAGGAACUGAAAAAUGCUAGACAAUCAUAUUUUUCAGAGAUCAUUAGUAGAAACACCAAAAAUACUCGCACACUAUUUUCUGUUGUUGACAAACUGACAAACCCACAAGCAUCAAUACCUCAGGAAUUGGCAUCUGAGGUGUCCUGUAAUAAUUUCGCAGCAUUCUUUACACACAAAGUACUAAUGAUUAGACAGACUGUGUGCAACUCCGGAUAAACAAAUGUUACACUAAAUGCCUCCCAACAUGUCCCCCACGUCAAUCUUAGACAGUUUAGCCUCUUGGACUAUGCCACUUUAACAGAAAUUGUGUCGAAACUAAAGCCCACAACAUGCUGCCUUGACAUCCUUCCUUCAAACUUUUUCAAAACUGUUUUUCAUUGCAUAGCCCCAGACAUACUUCAGAUUAUAAAUACUUCCCUCCAAACAGGAGAGUUUCCUCAGACUUUAAAAACUGCAGUAAUAAAACCUCUCCUAAAAAAACCUAAUCUGGAUGCCUCAACCAUUAGUAAUUACAGGCCAAUAUCAAAUCUGACAUUCCUGGGGAAAAUUAUCGAAAGGGUUGUGUUUGAACAUAUCCAGACUUUUAUGAUCCAAAACAAUCUUUUUAACUCAUUUCAGUCUGGAUUUCGGCCACAACACAGCACCGAGACUGUGCUUAUCAAAGUCCUAAAUGAUAUUCGUCGGAAUACCGAUGCAGGCAAAUCAUCUGUUCUGCUACUAUUGGAUCUCAGCGCCGCAUUUGACACGGUUGAUCACAACAUACUACUCAGCAGAUUGGAACAGUGGGUAGGGCUUACUGACACUAUUCUUCAGUGGUUCACAUCCUAUUUACAUGAUAGGGAUUUCUUUGUGUCAAUCGGAAAUUAUCAGUCAGAACGAACCAAAUUCACUUGUUGAGUCCCUCAAGGGUCAAUUCUUGGACCACUCUUAUUUAACAUCGAUAUGCUUCCGUUAGCUCAGAUAAUGGAACAGUAUGACAUCUCCUAUCACGCCUAUGCAGAUGACACACAACUGUACAUUUCUGUGUCCCCACAUGAUUAUAGUCCCUUAGUCUCCCUGAGUAAAUGCAUUCAUCAAAUCAAUGAAUGGAUGUGCCAGAAUUUUCUCCAGUUAAAUGUGGAGAAAACAGAGGUGAUCAUUUUUGGGCCAAAAAAGGAAAGGUCAAAGAUAAGCAGCCAACUUAGCACAAUGUCACUUACAGCUACAAAUCAACUCAGAAACCUUGGCGUAAUUAUUGACUCAGACCUAAAAUUUGAUAGCCAUCUAAAGUCCGUCACUAAAUCCGCUUAUUACCACCUAAAAAAUAUAACCAGAAUUAAGGGGCUUCUGACUCAACAAGACAUGGAAAAACUUAUGCAUGCAUUCGUUUUCAGCAGAUUGGACUACUGCAACGGUAUAUUUACAGGUCUUGAUAAAAAAUCAGUCAGGAAGCUGCAGCUAGUACAGAAUGCUGCAGCCAGAGUCCUCACAAAUACAAGGAAGCUGGACCACAUUACACCGGUUUUGAAAUCGCUACACUGGCUUCCAGUGAGUCAAAGGAUAGACUAUAAAAUACUACUGCUCGUCUACAAAACACUUAAUGGCCUUGGACCAAAAUACAUGCUUGACUUGUUAGAUUCCUAUGAGACAUCUAGACCCCUAAGGUCGUCUGGAACGGGUCUUCUGCAUGUUCCAAGAACAAGAACCAAGCAGGGUGAGGCAGCAUUUAGUUAUUAUGCUCCUCACCUCUGGAACAAGUUACCCGAACGUCUGAAGUAUGCUCAAACUGUUAGCUCCUUUAAAUCAGGGCUAAAAACGCUUUUGUUUAGCACUGCAUAUCCAUAACUGUCUAUAUAUUUCAAUCUACCUGCCUUCUAUUCCUCUUGUGCUUUUCUCCAUUGCUGAUUUCAAUGAUUAUUAGUAGUAGUAGUUUUUGCUUUAUUUCUAUUUUUGUUUUAUUUUUAUUUAUUUAUUUUUAUUCUGUGAUUAAAUGCGAUCUUUUGUCUUGGUUUUUACGUUGUGUUGAUUUAAAUGUGAUUUUUAUGGUUUUCAUGUGAUGUAAAGCACUUUGAAUUGCCUUGUGUUGAAUUGUGCUAUAUAAAUAAAUUUGCCUUGCCUUGCCUUGCCUUUAAUGUGGAGUUGAUUGUUCCAAUUUGUGAAAAAACAAUGUUGAACUGUUAUGGUGCAUAAUAUGUUCGUAUUAAUAAAUGGCAUUAGAAAGUGUUAUUAUUGCUUUUGAUAGAUCAAUUUAAUUUGCAAUAUAAACACAUUGUGGAUGAUGCAUUGAACAAAAUGGACCCCAAAUUUAAUACUGAAAACUGUUUUGAUACAAAUCUGGCCUAGCUUGUGUAACAUGUGUGCCAUAUCCGGGCUAUACAUAAAUGUAGUGUCUACUACUUUGGACCAGUUCGGGCCAAAAACUAGUUGCUGAUUCGGCAAGCGACUCCCAACUGAGUUUGGGCCAUUGUUCAAAAAGACACUGUGGCGGAUCUGUUUCAUAAAAUUGGGCUGAAAUUUGCAGUACAUCAGGCCUAUGUCUGCUCUAGUUAUAUUUUGCUAUCUGGGUUGGCAUUCUAUGGCCAGUAUAAUCUAGACAUAUUGCUUUAUUACCUGGCUACAGAAGCUAAUCCACAUUUGUUCAAAUAACUUGCUAAAAGGAUUACUGUACAACACUGAGACCAAUGCAAUUUGUUUGCAAGUCAAUGGUUUUUACACAAUAUGCAUUUCUAUUUGCUUUUUGUUUUUACUGAGAACAGCAAUAAGUAGCUCAAAGCCUGUUUUUUCUUUUCCAUUUUUUUAAUUGUUCACUAUCUGCCGCACUCCUUUUUAUUGUUAUGCAGGAUGAGUUCACUCUCACAGUACUGUGCUCUGGGUAGUUUUCAAUCACAUGUAGAAGCAAAAAAAAAAAAAAAAAAAUCUUCCGUUUGAUAGCUAAUGUACGAUAAAACUCCCAAAUUUGUUCAUCAUAUCAUAUAGCAUGACUGUAUACUGAAGGUCACAUGUGAAUGCAAAACUUGUAUCUCACCAUAGACCCAAGCAAUCACCACACACUCCCAGAAAGCUUGCCACAGCAGAGUGAUGCCACUGGCAGAAUAGUAGUCAAACAACUGGAAGACAUACAUGCCUCCCUGGCAGAAAGAAAGAACAAGAAUGCAGUCAGCCUUAACAAUCUGUAGUUAAUAUUUUAUAUAUGACCUAUUUGUCGCCUUACAACUGCCUAGUCAUACAAGCCUUUCCCAGAAAUGGUUUUAUGUGUCCAUUAAGAUGUCAAAAAUGACCUCAGUGUACUUUGGCUCCUAAGACAAAAUGUGUCAGCAUUUUUAAACCAAAGUUUUUAAAUGAACACCUAUCCAACUUUUGGUGGUUAGCUUUUAAUGAAUAAUGUUGUCAACAGGACCAGCACUUGACUACGGCAGGCUACUGAUAAGCCAGUGCAGUUUCUCAUAGAUUAGCAUGGACCAUUAAUGUCAGUUUCCAAAUGGUGGUUUAUCGUGAGGACUAUAUUGUAUAACCAUGUUAAAUGGGAGAGUGUACCUCUGUGACGAAGGACAAGUCAAUGAAGAAGCAGAUGACGCAGCAGAUGGCUGCUACAACUUCUCGCCGCAAGGAGCCCAGGGCAGACUUGGGAGGAAGCAUGUCCAUGAUUCCAGUUAUCAGGCCCUCUACUCCGACAAACUUGAAUUGAUAAAUUAAAUAACAGCAGGGAAGUAGACAAGCGUUACAUUGGGACACAAUAAACAAUGAAUUAAGGACUACAAUGCUUCUAAAUGUGCCAGGCUGCUACAAAACUCUUUGGAUUAUUUAAUAACAUUUUUGAUGCGAUGCAUAAAAUAAUGUCUUGAUCUAGGUACAAGAAAAGUGAAAACCGAAGAAUGCAGAACAGUAUAUGUAAUAAAGAGGUGAAAAUUGCAUCAAAGUGAAGAGCAUUUGCAUAAAUUAUUCUGGACAGAAAUUAUUUCAUUAUCAGGCUUCCUGCCCAGUCACCCCCUGAAUGAGUCUUUCAUUACUGUUCUCUUGUUGUAUUGUAAGUUGUCAAAUUUUGUGGCUCUGUACUUGUGACAUGUGUAAUGAUAAUAAAAGCUGUUCUUUGCUCUAAAUUCUUAUAAUUAUCAUCUCAGGGACGUUUUCCAACACACUAUUGCUUCCAUAUUUCCUAUCCAAUUUUGAAAAUAUUCCUCAAAUUGAAGAAGUUUUGCAAAAAGUAUUUUCCAGUUCUUCCAACACACUAUUGCUUCCAUAUUUCCUAACCAAUUUUGAAA